rnacentral:lncRNA from 10 species
UUCUCGCCUGCCGGCCUUCCACCAUGGGAUGAAGCAGCAAGAAGGCUCUUGCCAGAGGCAGACCCCUCGACCUUGGACUUCCCAGCCCCCAGAACUGUUUUCUAUAAAUGUCUGCUGUGGACUGAACUGAUGGAAUAAGCAUCCAAAAGGAAUGCCACCGGCUGAAAUGCUGACCCUCAUCACCAAGAUAAAACAUUGCAGGGAUGCAUGAAAAUUACAUUUGGGGAGUAAAUAGGCAGCCCAAGUACAGAGUGAAGAAGACCUGCUUAGAGGUGGCACACAUGAAAACAACUCAAAGGUUUACUUGCCCAUCUGAAUAUUCAUCCAUCCAUCCAUCCAUCCAUCCAUCCAUCCAUCCAUCCAUCCAUCCAACCAUCCAACCCCCUCUUGCCCUCAGAAGUUUAACCACCAGGAUUGAGCCCCUCUGUGUCCCAUGCCAACCUCCUAAGGUCAGAUGGGUUGGCUGUGCCCACUGUGUAAGAGGGGGUAGGCCAGGUUCAGGGAGGACACACAGACAAUUCCUCACCCCUCCACCCCCAUUCCCUGCUGGUCAGACCAGUUCCAGGGAUCAGUAUUUAAUACCUGGCCCUCAGAAUGGGAGGGAGAUGGCAAUGUGUGUGUGCG